GGAGAGAUGGCCGAGUGGUUGAUAGCUCCGGUCUUGAAAACCGGUAUAGUUUGAAACAAAGAACUAUCGAGGGUUCGAAUCCCUCUCUCUCCU
rnacentral:tRNA from 1 species